GACGAACCGUGCGAACGUUGUUCGGAUUCACUGGGCUUAAAGGGCGCGUAGGCGGGUGAUCAAGUCCGGGGUGAAAUACUCCAGCUUAACUGGAGAAUAGCCCUGGAUACUGGUCGUCUUGAGUGAGGUGAGGGGCAUGUGGAACUUCCGGUGGAGCGGUGAAAUGCGUAGAUAUCGGAAGGAACGCCGGUGGCGAAAGCGACGUGCUGGACCUCUCUGACGCUGAGGCGCGAAAGCCAGGGAGCGAAACGGG
rnacentral:rRNA from 1 species